UACGUAGGGGGGCAAGCGUUGUCCGGAAUCAUUGGGCGUAAAGCGCGUGUAGGCGGUCCGGUAAGUCCGCUGUGAAAGUCGGGGGCUUAACCCUUGAAUGCCGGUGGAUACUGCGAGGCUAGAGUCCGGAAGAGGCGAGUGGAAUUCCUGGUGUAGCGGUGAAAUGCGCAGAUAUCAGGAGGAACACCAGUAUCGGCGAAGGCAGCUCGCUGGGACGGUACUGACGCUGAGGCGCGAAGACGUGGGGAGCAAACAGGG
rnacentral:rRNA from 1 species